AAGAUAGUUUGCUUUUCUAUUUUACAGAAUCAGAGAAUCAUAGAAUCGGAAGGAUCUUGGCAUCCCCACCUUUCUCUCCAAAGCUUUUGUUCCACAUGUCAAGCAGCAGGAUACUAGGUCAUCUCUGCAGUGGUGACAAGAUACCUACCUGGCUGGAUCCCCUUGUGUCUGAUAAUAGUACUGCCAUUCUUUCUUCAUCCUAGCAUGGCAUACAUUGCAAAUGCAUGGUCUCCGUUGCCGUGUUUGAUGGAAACUUGCUGCAGGCAACUUGCUGAAUCAAAAGCACCCGGGAAAGGUUUUCCCAUCAUUGUCCAAGACAGGCUUCCUCUUGCCCUGUCCCGUCCAUCCUGCCGCACACAAGUCCAUUACUUUGUGUUCUGACCUCGCCAAAGACGGUUACUCUUCAGGCUGUCCUGCCUGCAGUCAGAGCUGCC